GUCAGGAGUAAAGGCGCCAUCUCCUGGUUAAAACCUCACAGCACAUCGGUUUUAAAAGCAAGAAGCCCGUUCAAAAAGCUGUUCAGUGUUUUCAUAUCUUUGUCUUAUAAAUUAACUUCGACAUAGAAUAUCGGACUUUGACCUUUAGUGGACUUUAUCCAUACAUGUGUUUAUAUGGUAGCAUUAAGUUCUGAACAGUGAGCCUAUUCAUUUAGCUCUACAAUAUGGCUUCCUCUACCCAGUAGAUAUGGUCCUCUUGCCAGGGACCUCCUAGUUCAUGUAGUGACGUCAGAUGUGCUGAGUGACCUGAUGAAGUUUUGGGUCGGGUGGAAACUACCAACAAGAAACCUCAGUGUGGAGGUUGUAACUUCAGCUUCUGCAGUAGUUCUCACCUGCUUCUUUCAAGUUGAAGCUCCCCAGCCACUACCAGACCUACAGGACGUCUCACCAGGACUUGGUGAUGGUCCUGAGUUCCACAAGUUCUUGCUUUGGACUUGUGUGGAGGCAAAUGACAUCAACUUCUUGCCGUCACUCCCUCUUGUAAAAUAAAAUCCCUUUUAAAAGGA